rnacentral:rRNA from 1 species
GACGAACGCUGGCGGCGUGCUUAACACAUGCAAGUCGAACGGGGAUAUACUGGAGGAUAGCUUCGGCAGGAAUCGGGUAUAUUCCAGUGGCGGACGGGUGAGUAACGCGUGAACAAUCUGUCCCAGACAGGGGGAUAACACUUGGAAACAGGUGCUAAUACCGCAUGAGACCACGGGAUCGCAUGGUUCUGAGGUAAAAGGAGCAAUCCGGUUUGGGGUGAGUUCGCGUCCGAUUAGAUAGUUGGUGAGGUAACGGCCCACCAAGUCGACGAUCGGUAGCCGACCUGAGAGGGUGAUCGGCCACAUUGGAACUGAGAGACGGUCCAA